UACGGGGGGGGUAAGCGUUGUUCGGAAUUACUGGGCGUAAAGGGCUCGUAGGCGGCCAACUAAGUCAUACGUGAAAUCCCUCGGCUUAACCGAGGAACUGCCUCCCAAACUGCUUGGCUUGAGACCAGGAGAGGUGAGUGGAAUUCCCAGUGUAGCGGUGAAAUGCGCAGAUAUCAGGAGGAACACCGGUGGCGAAGGCGGGUCUCUGGGCCGAUACUGACGCUGAGGAGCGAAAGCGUGGGGAGCGAACAGG
rnacentral:rRNA from 1 species